AUUAGAUACCCUGGUAGUCCACGCCGUAAACGAUGUCAACUAGCCGUUGGGGAUCUUGAAUCCUUAGUGGCGCAGCUAACGCACUAAGUUGACCGCCUGGGGAGUACGGCCGCAAGGUUAAAACUCAAAUGAAUUGACGGGGGCCCGCACAAGCGGUGGAGCAUGUGGUUUAAUUCGACGCAACGCGAAGAACCUUACCUGGCCUUGACAUCCUGCGAACUUUCUAGAGAUAGAUUGGUGCCUUCGGGAACGCAGUGACAGGUGCUGCAUGGCCGUCGUCAGCUCGUGUCGUGAGAUGUUGGGUUAAGUCCCGUAACGAGCGCAACCCCUAUCCCUAGUUGCUAGCAGUUCGGCUGAGAACUCUAGGGAGACUGCCGGUGACAAACCGGAGGAAGGUGGGGAUGACGUCAGGUCAUCAUGGCCCUUACGGCCAGGGCUACACACGUGCUACAAUGGCGCGCACAGAGGGCUGCAAACUCGCGAGGGUAAGCCAAUCUCUUAAAACGCGUCGUAGUCCGGAUCGCAGUCUGCAACUCGACUGCGUGAAGUCGGAAUCGCUAGUAAUCGCGAAUCAGAAUGUCGCGGUGAAUACGUUCCCGGGCCUUGUACACACCGC
rnacentral:rRNA from 1 species